rnacentral:rRNA from 1 species
ACGUAGGGGGCAAGCGUUGUCCGGAAUUAUUGGGCGUAAAGGGCACGUAGGCGGCCUUUUAAGUCUGGUGUGAAAGACCUGGUUUUAAGGUGGGGGUUGCUUUGGAUACUGUCAGGCUUGAGUGCAGGAGAGGUAAGUGGAAUUCCCGGUGUAGCGGUGAAAUGCGUAGAGAUCGGGAGGAACACCAGUGGCGAAGGCGACUUACUGGACUGUAACUGACGCUGAGGCGCGAAAGUGUGGGGAGCAAACAG